rnacentral:rRNA from 1 species
GGAUAACCUGCCCUUGAGACGGGGAUAAACCCGGGAAACUGGGUAUAAUACCCGAUAGAUCUCGGCUGCUGGAAUGCACCGAGUUCUAAAGCUCCGGCGCUCAAGGAUGGAUCUGCGGCCUAUCAGGUAGUAGUGGGUGUAACGUACCUACUAGCCUUCGACGGGUACGGGUUGUGAGAGCAAGAGCCCGGAGAUGGAUUCUGAGACACGAAUCCAGGCCCUACGGGGUGCAGCAGGCGCGAAAACUUUACAAUGCUGGAAACAGCGAUAAGGGGACCUCGAGUGCCAGGUUACAAAUCUGGCUGUCGUGAUGCCUAAAAAGCAUUGCAUAGCAAGGGCCGGGCAAGACCGGUGCCAGCCGCCGCGGUAACACCGGCGGCUCGAGUGGUAACCGUUAUUAUUGGGUCUAAAGGGUCUGUAGCCGGCCGGAUAAGUCUCUUGAGAAAUCUGGCAGCUUAACUGUCAGGCUUUCAGGAGAUACUGUCUGGCUCGAGGCCGGGAGAGGUGAGAGGUACUUCAGGGGUAGGGGUGAAAUCUUGUAAUCCUUGAAGGACCACCAGUGGCGAAGGCGUCUCACCAGAACGGACCUGACGGCAAGGGACGAAAGCUAGGGGCACGAACCGGAUUAGAUACCCGGGUAGUCCUAGCCGUAAACGAUACUCGCUAGGUGUCGGCCACGGUGCGACCGUUGUCGGUGCCGUAGGGAAGCCGUGAAGCGAGCCACCUGGGAAGUACGGCCGCAAGGCUGAAACUUAAAGGAAUUGGCGGGGGAGCACCACAACGGGUGGAGCUUG